AUUGAACGCUGGCGGCAUGCUUUACACAUGCAAGUCGAACGGCAGCGCGGGCUUCGGCCUGGCGGCGAGUGGCGAACGGGUGAGUAAUACAUCGGAACGUGCCCAGUAGUGGGGGAUAGCCCGGCGAAAGCCGGAUUAAUACCGCAUACGACCUGAGGGUGAAAGCGGGGGAUCUUCGGACCUCGCGCUAUUGGAGCGGCCGAUGGCAGAUUAGCUAGUUGGUGGGGUAAAGGCCUACCAAGGCGACGAUCUGUAGCUGGUCUGAGAGGACGACCAGCCACACUGGGACUGAGACACGGCCAAGACUCCUACGGGAGGCAGCAGUGGGGAAUUUUGGACAAUGGGCGAAAGCCUGAUCCAGCAAUGCCGCGUGUGUGAUGAAGGCCUUCGGGUUGUAAAGCACUUUUGGCGGGAACGAAAAGGACUGUGCCAAUACCACGGUUCGAUGACGGUACCCGCAGAAUAAGCACCGGCUAACUACGUG
rnacentral:rRNA from 1 species